ACAGACCGUCUCUCUCACCCUCCAUCGUCUUUGCCGCCGGAAAUUGCCCCACGACGGCGGGCAGACCCCAAACGACCCCACAAUCCCCACCUCCUUCUCAUUACAUAUCGCUUUGUUAUUUCCUUAAAAACCCUCCAGAAUCUCUCAAUUACUGGAUCUAAGAAAUUCUAAAAACCUAAAUCCACCCCUUUUUAUUUUUUCUCAAAUCCUGGCGUGUUUGGGCUUAAAACCAACACCAAUCGACUUCUCUCAUUGAGUUUUACAAAUUGGCAUUAUUUUGUCUCGUUUCAAGAUCGCCGGCUACCGGUCAACUCACUAUUGACAGGCCAGAAUUUCUGAAAUUCCUCUGUGGUUGAUCUUUUUGGUUGAAUUAUGGCUAACAUCAUCGCAUACAUCAUUAGUUACGCCCUCAAGCGUAAGCCAGUGCUCGUGUGGCGAUGUCGGCUAUCGUCCAGAAUUCUUUUCUCUUCAGCCAACAGUGCUUCACAUAUGAUUUUCUGUAGUAAUUCAUAACGAGAAAAGACCACUGUUGCAGCAGAUAUGGCGGUCGUUCAUGGAUUUGGCCAUUAAUUGGUCAAAUUUGUAAACCUCAAAGUCAAAAUAUUUUUUCAGAAGUGUUUGGAGCCAUUGUAUUUCUCAAAUAGAAGUAUAAAUUUUCAUGUUGGGACUAUAAUAUGAUUUUUGGGCAUGAGUAUAUUAUAUUAUGUAACAUAGUUAAAGUAGAUGUUGAAAUCUGCUCAAUUCAGGACGUGAGCACAAGCAUAAAUGUAAGGAUAAUUAUUGUAGUUGAUUUUUAUUAUGUUUGGAACUAGCGUUAAAUUCUUUCAAUUUAGAAUAACAGCUGUUUAAAACCA